rnacentral:tRNA from 1 species
UCCCUGAUGGUCUAGUAGUUAGGACUCAGCGCCUUCACCACUGCGGCCCAGGUUCAAUUCCUGGUCUGGGAA